rnacentral:rRNA from 1 species
GUGAGGGAUGACGGCCUUCGGGUUGUAAACCUCUUUUAGUAGGGAAGAAGCGAAAGUGACGGUACCUGCAGAAAAAGCACCGGCUAACUACGUGCCAGCAGCCGCGGUAAUACGUAGGGUGCAAGCGUUGUCCGGAAUUAUUGGGCGUAAAGAGCUCGUAGGCGGUUUGUCGCGUCUGCUGUGAAAUCCCGAGGCUCAACCUCGGGCUUGCAGUGGGUACGGGCAGACUAGAGUGCGGUAGGGGAGAUUGGAAUUCCUGGUGUAGCGGUGGAAUGCGCAGAUAUCAGGAGGAACACCGAUGGCGAAGGCAGAUCUCUGGGCCGUAACUGACGCUGAGGAGCGAAAGCAUGGGGAGCGAACAGGAUUA